AACACAUGAUGAAAAAAGUUUCGGUCCCAGAUGAUAUUCAAUGAUAACUUCUAUUUUUCUGAUGUU